UACUUGGUGGCGACCGGCGCACGGGUGAGUAACGCGUAUGCAACCUACCGUAUCAGAGGGGAAUAACCGGCGAAAGUCGGACUAAUACCGCAUAAAACAGGGGCACCGCAUGGUGAUAUUUGUUAAAGAAAUUCGCUGAUAGAUGGGCAUGCGUUCCAUUAGGUAGUUGGUGAGGUAACGGCUCACCAAGCCGACGAUGGAUAGGGGAACUGAGAGGUUGGUCCCCCACACUGGUACUGAGACGCGGACCAGACUCCUACGGGAGGCAGCAGUGAGGAAUAUUGGUCAAUGGGCGGGAGCCUGAACCAGCCAAGUCGCGUGAAGGAAGAAGGAUCUAUGGUUCGUAAACUUCUUUGCAGGGGAAUAAAGUGCAGGACGUGUCCUGUUUUGUAUGUACCCUGAGAAUAAGGAUCGGCUAACUCCGUGCCAGCCGCCGC
rnacentral:rRNA from 1 species